ensembl:misc_RNA 7SK 7SK RNA
GGAUGUGAGGGUGAUCUGGCUGUGACAUAUAUUACCCCACCGAUUGCCAGGGUUGAGUUGGCUGAUCUGGCCAGCUGAGCGGGUGUGACCUUCUUCCCUCACUGCUCCAUGUGCAUCCCUCCCGAAACUGGGGGCUUGGUCAAAGAGUCUGACUUUCCCCAAUAGAGGUGACAAUUCUGUUGUCAAGGGUACACAAGUAGCUGGGGUUCCCUGCUGGACCUCCACACAAACUCUCAAAUAUCUGCCAGAGAAAAGGCCCACUCUUUUGACAUUUCUCUCAUGCCAUGCAACUGUCACAAUUAAGUAACUCUAU